GAGCGCAGGAGACCCGUGCCCACUUCUCUCUGCUCUCACUGCCUGGAUCUCCGCUUCCCUCCGCGUGUCCCGCUUCGCCCUGGGAGGAUCGUCGGUGGAUCCCUCGGGAGAGCUUUCUGGAUUACGCUGGCGUCAGGAGACCAGGAGGAUGUGGCUGUGAAGUCCAGAGAGGAGAAAGAGGCGUUCUUGGAUCAGAAGCCACAACAUUUUGAUCAGGAUCCAUUCUUGAAAAUUUGGAAAUCUUGGCCCAGUUGGAGAAGCAGCUUCCUGCACAAAGGGCCAAUCGAUAAAGGAGAAAUCAAACUGGUCAGCAGUGAGGGUCAUCCCUGGCCUUCACUCAGAAAGCUAACAGAGACCUCUUAGCCGUAACUUUAAAGCAGAUAAAAGAUUGCGACCAGAUUUACCUGCAAGUCAACUGUCAACAGAUAGUAGAAAAUCAAAGCAAGGCAGCAGCCAAGAGGAAGCAUGGAGCCUGGGAAGCUCUUGGAUCCCCCGUCAGAUACAAGCAGCACUCCACAAAAUGACCAAAAACCCCAUGAAUGCUCAGAGUGUGGGAAAUUCUUUACUCUCCAGUCCCUCCUUUUGACCCACAGGAAGGUCCAUGUGGGAAGCGGAUCCAGUCAAGGUUUGGAGGGCGAGAAUUCCAACUCUGGAAAAGACGCCAAAGAUCUCAGAAGCUCCUCCACACUAAAAACCUAUAAAUGUGAGGAAUGUGACUUAUGCUUUGGGCUAAAGUCAAACCUUCGUACACAUCAGAAAAUCCACACUGGAGAGAAACCUUAUGAAUGUCUGGAAUGUGGGAAAUUUUUCCGUGAAAAAGCCACUCUCAUAAACCACGAGAUAAUUCACACAGGGGAGAAACCUUACAACUGUUGGGAAUGUGGGAAGAGCUUUUCUCAGAAGUC